UUUUAAUCUUAUACGCCUCUCAUCACAUUAAUGGACGCUCUUGCUUUCCGGAAAACCGCGAUUCAUUUAGAAAUUGUCUUUUUUGCUCCUUCUUUUCCAGUUCAGUAUUUUUCUUUUGUUUCAAACUUUCACGGACUUUGCCCCCAAAAAUACUUUCUUCCCCUGUUUUCCUUCCUGUUCACAAAUGUUUACCCCCUCCGCCCUCCCAUCAUUCCCCAUUUCAUUGUUUUCGACACGUGAGGUCCCCACCUCGAGGAAACAAAAGACCCUGCCGAACACCUGGCUGAUGAUGCUUACAAAGGGAUGCCUUUUUCUUCUUUUGUUCCGAAAAGUUCGGGAUUGCCCGCCAUUGAAAAACAAGGAAAAAAUUUCUAAAUUAUAUUCCGAUUUCUAGAAGGGUCAGCAGAGGGAGGGGGUGGGGGAGAUUGUUGGUGGUGGCUACAGAACAACAGGUCAAAAAGGUUAUAAAAGGGAAACCCUCCCCCUGAGGUUCAAUCAGUGUGAGUUCAGGGACUGACAUGGUCCGAUGGGUGAACAGAUCAGUGGGUCAGGGGUUCAGUGUGCGUAGCCAGCAGCGGGAAUCGUAACAUUUGCCGAGACGAAACAUGAUUUACGCUGUUACGUCAUAGUUUUGCAUUGAGAAUUUCAUCAAAACGGGUGAAUGAACACAAAUAAUGCCUAACUCCUCCGCGACGUUCGGAAAUUUUCGAUAAUAUUUUACUUUGUUGAAAGAAAAGUAACCGAUGCAUCUCUCUCAAAUUCUGUAAGAAUAUGUGAAUGGAUAUUUGAAUAUUGAAUGAAGAAAA